GUGCAGCAGGCGCGAAACUUUACAAUGUGCGAAAGCACGAUAAGGGAACUCUGAGUGCCUCCUAAGGAGGCUGUUCAGGUGUCUAAAAGCACCUGAAGGAAGGGCUGGGUAAGACCGGUGCCAGCCGCCGCGGUAACACCGGCAGCCCAAGUGGUAGCCACGUUUAUUGGGUCUAAAGCGUCCGUAGCCGGCUGGGUAAGUUCCUUGGGAAAUUUGGCUGCUUAACAGUCAAGCUUUCAGGGAAUACUGCCCGGCUUGGGACCGGGAGAGGGUCAGAGGGUACUCCAGGGGUAGGGGUGAAAUCCAUUAAUCCUUGGGGGACCACCGGUAGCGAAGGCGUCUGACCAGACCGGGUCCGACGGUGAGGGACGAAGGCUAGGGGCGCGAACCGGAUUA
rnacentral:rRNA from 1 species